rnacentral:tRNA from 1 species
GGCUGUAGCUCAGUUGGUAGAGCAUUGGCUUCCCAAGCCGAGGGUCGCGGGUUCGAGUCCCCCUGACU